AACGAACGCUGGCGGCAGGCCUAACACAUGCAAGUCGAACGCUCCAGCAAUGGAGAGUGGCAGACGGGUGAGUAACGCGUGGGAACCUACCCUUUGGUUCGGAAUAGCUCAGGGAAACUUGAGGUAAUACCGGAUAAGCCCUUCGGGGGAAAGAUUUAUCGCCAAUGGAUGGGCCCGCGUCGGAUUAGCUAGUUGGUAGGGUAACGGCCUACCAAGGCGGCGGUCCGUAGCUGGUCUGAGAGGAUGCUCAGCCACACUGGGACUGAGACACGACCCAGACUCCUACGGGAGGCAGCAGUGGGGAAUAUUGGAGAAUGGGCGCAAGCCUGAUCCGGCCAUGCAGCGUGAGUGACGAAGGUCUUCGGAUUGUAAAGCUCUUUUGGCGGGGAAGAUAAUGGCGGUACCCGCAGAAUAAGCCCCGGCUAACUUCGUGCCAGCAGCCGCCGUAA
rnacentral:rRNA from 1 species